rnacentral:rRNA from 1 species
CAGUAGCCGCGGUAAUACGUAGGGUCCGAGCGUUGUCCGGAAUUAUUGGGCGUAAAGAGCUCGUAGGCGGUCUGUCGCGUCUGCCGUGAAAUCCUCAGGCUCAACCUGAGGCGUGCGGUGGGUACGGUCAGGCUAGAGUGCGGUAGGGGAGAAUGGAACUCCUGGUGUAGCGGUGGAAUGCGCAGAUAUCAGGAAGAACACCGAUGGCGAAGGCAGUUCUCUGGGCCGUAACUGACGCUGAGGAGCGAAAGCGUGGGGAGCGAACAGGAUUAGAUACCCCUGUAGUCUCUGUCUCUUAUAC